rnacentral:tRNA from 1 species
GUAUGUGGCACAAUGGUACAGUACUUGCUUAGCAUGCAUGAGGCCCUGGGUUCCAUCCCUAGCACAAAAUACA